rnacentral:rRNA from 1 species
AUUGAACGCUGGCGGCAGGCCUAACACAUGCCAGUCGAGCGGAUGAAGGGAGCUUGCGCCUGGAUUCAGCGGCGGACGGGUGAGUAAUGCCUAGGAAUCUGCCUGGUAGUGGGGGAUAACGUCCGGAAACGGGCGCUAAUACCGCAUACGUCCUGAGGGAGAAAGUGGGGGAUCUUCGGACCUCACGCUAUCAGAUGAGCCUAGGUCGGAUUAGCUAGUUGGUGGGGUAAAGGCCUACCAAGGCGACGAUCCGUAACUGGCCUGAGAGGAUGAUCAGUCACACUGGAACUGAGACACGGUCCAGACUCCUACGGGAGGCAGCAGUGGGGAAUAUUGGACAAUGGGCGAAAGCCUGAUCCAGCCAUGCCGCGUGUGUGAAGAAGGUCUUCGGAUUGUAAAGCACUUUAAGUUGGGAGGAAGGGCAGUAAGUUAAUACCUUGCUGUUUUGACGUUACCAACAGAAUAAGCACCGGCUAACUUCGUG